UACGCCACCAUUCAAAACCACCACCACCAAAAAUGUCUCACAGCGUGGUGGCGCCGCCCUGUUUCCCCACCGUGAGGUCGGUGGCGAACUGACCAAGGCAGAGAGCAAACACGAAGAAGGUGGCUAACACGAAACGUAACAGGAGCAGCGUUGGAGCAGUAGUGGGGUUCGGUGGAGAGAUGAAGGAAGUUCGGUAGCAGUGCGUGGAGCCAUCUGCACUCCACCAUAGCUAAUCCUCUCGAUUUCAGACCUCUUGCAUCAGGUGCUUAACUUUGACAGAUUCUCCUGGACCACAGGUUCAUCAAAGCCUAAAUACGUAUUAUGGAUUGUUUAAAUGGUUGAGCUUCUGUGCCUAGAAAUUCUUUGCAGGAAGUUGCUGAACCAAUGCACAUAGGUGGAAAAUGGAGGCCAUUGAGAAAUGUGAUGUGAUGGUGUACACGAAGAUCUUCUUAAAGUUUCCAUAUAAGUUCUGGCCUUGUGGACACGAGCAGAGAGGUUACUACACGUUCUGGCAGGUAUCGACAUUUGAUGUUGAAUGUGGUGUCACUUUUGCCCCAUUGUAAGAAGGAUAACAAGUUUGAAUCUAAAGCAAGUAAAGGCGCAACACUGAAUGAGCUUGUUGAACUCACAGGCUGUUCUUCUUGCCUGUUUUUUGAGCGCAGAAAACAUAAAGACCUUUAUCUAUGGAUGGUAAAGUGUCCCAAUGGUCCAUCAGUGAAGUUCUUAGUAAAUGCUGUUCACACCAUGGAAGAAUUGAAGCUUACUGGAAAUCAUUUGAAAGGCUCACGCCCUCUAGACUUUCUUGACUAAUUUUGAUAGAGACCCCCACUAGAAACUUUUGAAAGAGAUAAUCAUGCAAUUCUUAUACUUGCACUUAGGACAGUGGGAAACAUUGUUACUAGUGAUGAUGCCCAAACUCAGAAGUAACAUAGAUGUUUAUUUACUCCAGUGGUGAGAGAAAAAGCUGAAACCCUUUAAAAAGAAAAUCUGAUAGCAAAAGCAAGGAAAAAAGGAUGGAAGUGUACCUCUUCGUAUUGCCUUUCUCCUUUCUACAGUCGUUCUGCAUAGUUUUCCGCAAUAGUGACUACUCAAUUUCAUGCUAACAGUAACAAAUUAAGGAGCACCAUCUCAAAGUCCAAAUUGAAGACAACGAGGCUGAAUUCACCCCAGAGGAACUUGAUUCUCGGAAACGGUCACUAAAUCUACAAGACUGAGGUGGAAUCUGAUGAUCAUGCGUUAUUGCACUGUCCGUUUGUUUGGUUACUUUAGUCACAUGUUAUUAGAUGAUGGGGUUUAGUUUGGGCAUUACCAGGUUUUGUUAAUGACUUACCCCAAUGGUGGGCCGGUGUAAAUGUCAAAACUGGAGAGGAAAAUCUGGAAUUCCAUUCUAUUUGCUGUUUUAUGGUGGAGGAAUCAAAGUUUGUGUUUGAAGCUAGGAUAAUCUAGAGAAUGGAGCUUCUGGUGCUAUCUACUCUUCAAAGGAAGAUGAAUUCUCUGACCCCACUUUCAUUUAUUGAUCACAUUGUGAGGAGAUUUGGAUUUACGCCAGAUUUGUAUUUGGAGUAAGGUUUUGAAAAGCGGUUGCGGUUGCUCUAACGGUGGCGGUGCCGCGGUUGCGGUUGCGGGGUGUAAAGGCCGUAGCGUAACGGUUGCGGUAACCGGAACCGUGAAUUUUUUUUAUUUUUCG